UCUUCUCUUCUUCAGUGGAAGAGCAUCUGCUUGGUGUGCAGAAGGACUCAGGUUUAAUUCCUGACAUCUCCAGUAAAGAU
rnacentral:tRNA from 1 species